GGUGACCCCGGUCCCCCCGGGCCACCAGGGAUGAUGGGUCCUCCGGGCUUCAAAGGCAAGACAGGACACCCAGGGCUCCCAGGACCGAAGGGUGACUGCGGCAACCCCG